CCAGGCGCGGGAGGCCGGGCUUUGCGUGCUGGGCGCCCCGAGCCCGCGUCCGGGGGGCUCUGGCCGAGCCCUCGGGGAGGGCCGGGGGUGCCGGGGCGCCGAGGCCGGCCGAGCCCUGCAGGUCGCGCGGGGAACUGCUCGCCGGCCGGUCCUGCGGCGCCGGGCGGGGGGGCCGCGGGGCGCGGGGCGCGGGGAUGUGCGCGGCCGAGCUCGCCCGGGCGCAGCGGGAGCAGCCGCGAGUCCCCGCGCGGGAGCUGCCGAGAGGCCGCGGUGAGUGCCCGGGGGCGGCUCCCGGGGCGCCCCCACCCCGCCCCCGCCCGCCGCCUGCACCCCGGGGUGCCCUGGGGGCGCACGCACCCGCCGCCCGGCGCCCGGGGGGCUCCUCGGUCGGAGCCCGCAACUUGUCCCGGACCCCGCGGUGAGUCCCGGGCGGGCGGGGGGCGCGGGGGGCGCCCUGGGGCGCGGGGGGGCGCAGGGGGGGCGCGCAGGGGGCAGCCCCUGCCCCGGGGAGGUCCGCGCUGCAACCGCGGGGGCGCCGACCUGGGGGGCGCGGGGAGUGCAGGGGGCGCCCUGGGGCGCGGGGGGGCGCAGGGGAGGCGCGCAGGGGCAGCCCCUGCCCUGGGGAGGUCUGGGCUGCAACAGCGGGGUGCCAACCUGGGGGGCGCGGGGGGCGCCCGGGGGCGCAGGGGGGGGCGCGCAGGGGGCAUUGCCCUGGGGAGGUCCGCGCUGCAACCGCGGGGGCGCCGACUUGGAGGGUGCGAGGGGCGUCCUGGGGCGCAGGGGGUGCAGGGGGCGCCCUGGGGCUCGGGGGGGGGGCGCGGGGGGGGCGCGCAGGGGGCAGCCCCUGCCCCGGGGAGGUCCGCGCUGCAACCGCGGGGGCGCCGACCUGGGGGCGCGGGGGGCGCUGGGGAUCGCCAGCCGCAGCGCGCACGCCGAUCUGGGGGGGGGGGUUUCCUUUUUUUUUUUUUUUUUUUUUUUAAAUGCAAGGUCUGUUUCCAUUCGGUCCCUGUCGGAUCUCCUCCCGGUUCCGAACUCUCUCGCCACUUUGACUCUCCCGAGCCGCAAGCGCCGCGCAUGACCCCAGGUCUUCCUGGGGCGCCCACCUCCGUGCCCCGCGGGGAUGCCCUCUACGCGGGGGUCUUCGGUCGCGGGGGGCCUACGGGGAUGAAAGUUCCCCGACCCCCUGCGUCCCCUCCCGGCAAGCAGGGUGCGGGCAACCCGGCGUUUCCCCCGCCCCUCCACCCCCACCCCUCCAGGUGA
rnacentral:lncRNA from 1 species